rnacentral:rRNA from 1 species
AGCAGCCGCGGUAAUUCCAGCUCCAAUAGCGUAUAUUAAAGUUGUUGCAGUUAAAAAGCUCGUAGUUGAAUUUCGGGGUUCUACCGUUGGUCGGGCUUUGUCUGUACUGGCGUGUAGAAUUUCUACCUUCUGGGGAACCAUCAUGUUAUUAAUUUAGUGUGGUGGGAAACCAGGACCUUUACCUUGAAAAAAUUAGAGUGUUCAAAGCAGGCUUAUGUCUGAAUACAUUAGCAUGGAAUAAUAGAAUAGGACGGUGGUCCUGUUUUGUUGGUUUCUGAAUCACCGUAAUGAUUAAUAGGGAUAGUUGGGGGCAUUAGUAUUCAAUUGUCAGAGGUGAAAUUCUUGGAUUUAU